UCCAAUUCAAAUCCAAACACCAAGGCAAGCCCAAAAUUUACAUAAGUUACAUCAAAAAUUGAAUAUACAAGAGAAAUCCAUCCAUUCUAAUUCAAACAGUCACCCUAGCUCAACUAUUAUACAAAACAAAUCCAAAUCUCAGCUAUACAAGAUACAUGCCAUCCAGGCGCACAAUUAAUGUAAUUCAAGCUCUUCUUUUGCCUCGAUUCCUGUGGGGAGAAGAAAACAUUUGGGGGUGAGCUAGAAACUCAGCGAGUGAACAGUAAAACGGUAAUCAAAUAAACUUAACAGCAGUGUAUUUCAAUGCUAUCAUGGAAUAACGGUCCAAUGUGCAAAUAAUGCUCUUUAGAGCCAGUGAAAAUCCUUGUACUUAAAAGCCAACACUCUCUUAGAUCGAGUAAUCAGAUAAACAGAAACAAGGAGCCAUCGUGCUCCAAGGAAAGUAUACACAGUAGUGGAGACGUUGGUUCUAAGCACAAGAUUUUUCCCAAGAACUCAAUAAAGCCAACAUGUUAUGGCACACACACAUACACAAUGAGAUGCAAUCGUGCAAGCAAUGCAGAAUUACUUCAAAAGUAACUUUUGGAGAAAUAGUUAAGGUUCACUCACCAACCACGGCACACGAACCUUUUUCCAGCAUACAUCAUAGCCUUGCUCAUGUUAGAAUCCUAGAUUACAAAUAUCAAGUCAAAUAAAAGGAAUUCUAAUCUUAACAAAUUCCUGCCACCUUUAGGCAUUUGAAUCACAAUUGAAAAUACGCUUAUCCAAUUGACACAAAUCUUAUGGCGUUAUGAAGCUAAGACAUAGACUAACAUUCUUAUGAAGACCUCCAAGGCCAAAUAAUACAUUUUCAGGGUCAAAAGUCAAAAUUUAGAGAAAGAAUGAAAACUGUCAUGAAACAGGGGUUAUAGGGCAGUCAUGGGUGUUUCGGUCAAUUCACAAGCUACAGUACUCCAAUCAAUCUGAAAUUUUGCAGGCAAGUAGUCAACUCAUAUAUCUACAGGUUUCAUGUUUUGAGCAAGAGUUGAUUCGGUCUUUAACAUGGUCAAAUGUACAGUACAAAAACAGGGCAGAUUAACCUUAAGCUAGAAUUCAUGUACUCUAGCUGAAAAUUCUUUUAAGUAAUCCAAACUAGUAUACCAAAGCUUCAUUUAUCCCAAUAUCCAGCUAUCAUGCUAUGGACAACUACCACUUAUCACAUGAGAGCAGAAAUAAUACAACAAAAGCUGAAAUUACACUUCCAAACCAACAUUUGCGAAUAACCAUCAUUAAUCACGAUUAAAGGCUAGAACUUCCACCUUAAGACACUAGAAUAGCUUAUUACUCAUAUACAUGGCAAAUCGAAGAUGAAAUCACAUUACUAAAGUCCGGAAAUACCACUAACAUGGGAUUUCAUCAUCCCAACCUCCAAAUCACAAGAAUUUCCAUAAAACUAGUCAAGAUCACACAAAUUCAAAUCAAUCAUAUACUCUCCAAAAAUGGGACAGCAUUUCCCCUUAAUUUUACACAUUUCCAACCUACCAUUCAACCCCAAUUUUACAUACAAUUAUAGACUAGCAAAUAUACUCAAUUAGAGCCACAAUACCCCUUAAUCAAAGCCAAUAAACCAAUCAUAAGAAAAUCCCCAAUUUAAACCCUAGCAACCGGAAUUCACACCACAAGCGGAAAUUUUCCGUAAACAACUGCAAUUCACGUCUAAAGGGUCCAUUUAAUACCAUUUCAAUCCAUCAAUUCAAGACCAAUUCAUGCUUGUCAUAUAAAAUCGGAAAAAUGCCCAAUAAAUCAGAAAUUCACCAUAACUUGCUUCAACCCAUGAACUACUCCACAAAAUAUCACACAUGGCCACCACAAACCAUUAAUUAACCAAUACUAGAGCAAAAGUAACUUGUAUAACCAACUUACCUCAAAUUCAAGAGAGUUAUCAAACUAAAGCUUCCCCUUCAAAACCAAUCCAUCAAAAGCUUUAAACCACCAUAGUGCACCCUUGUGUGGAGUACCUUCCAAAACCAUCGGUUAAAACUCAAGAUUUUGGCAAAGAUUGAAGUUAGG
rnacentral:lncRNA from 1 species